rnacentral:rRNA from 1 species
AGAGUUUGAUCCUGGCUCAGAAUCAACGCUGGCGGCGUGCCUAACACAUGCAAGUCGAACGCGAAAGCCCUUUCGGGGGUAAGUAGAGUGGCGUCCGGGUGAGUAACACGUAGGUAAUCUACCUCUGGGUGGGGAAUAACGUCUCGAAAGAGACGCUAAUACCGCAUAAUGCAGCGGCACCUUAUGGUGAAUAGUUGUUAAAGCGGGGGAUCGCAAGACCUCGCGCCUAGAGAGGAGCCUGCGGCAGAUUAGCUUGUUGGUGAGGUAAUGGCUCACCAAGGCUGCGAUCUGUAGCUGGCCUGAGAGGACGGCCAGCCACACUGGCACUGACACACGGGCCAGACUCCUACGGGAGGCAGCAGUGGGGAAUUUUGGGCAAUGGGCGCAAGCCUGACCCAGCAACGCCGCGUGAAGGAGGAAAUCCUUCGGGAUGUAAACUUCACAAGCAAGGGAAGAAUGCCUCAGGGUGAAUACCCCUGAGGAGGGACGUACCUUGC